ensembl:misc_RNA Metazoa_SRP Metazoan signal recognition particle RNA
GUUGGGCAUGGUGGUGCAUGCCUGUGGUCCCAGCUACUUGGGAGGCUGAGGUGGGAGAAUCACUUGAGCCCAGGAGGUUGAGGCUUCAGUGAGCCAAGAUCACAACACUGCACUCUGGCCUGGGCAACAGAGUGAGACCCUGUCUCAA